AAACCCUAGAGACCCCUCUCUCUCUUUUCUCAAGCCGCCGCCGCCUUCCUCCACUGCCACCACCGUGCGCCACUGCUGGUGGUGCUCCAAACACCACCAAAAUUUCACCCACUAUUCAUAUCAACCUCCUCUUCAUGAAUCCAAACCCCAAAUCCUUUAAAUCCUUCUCAAACAUCACAAAUCUUCGAAAACUUGAAACCCUAGCCGCCUAUUUUUCCUUAGAUUUUUCAAGUUUGAGACCUCACCACCACUUAAUACCUACAUGAGUGUGUAGGUCUCCCCCUAGUCUACCGUUCUUUCUUGGUUCAAAGUCGAAACUCCGGUGGCUCAAUUCCGGCGGGUUGCUGGCCGCUUCUACUUUGGCUCGAACAAGCUCUUCUUGUUUCUGAGUUCGUUAUUCGACUUCAGUUUGAUUGGAGUUGAUAGUGACGGGCUAGCAAUAAGAAGAGCAUGUCCGACAUCAAAACUUCAUCUAUCGCUGCCAGAAUCACCACCACUGUCGCACCACCACUAUUUCGGACACUUUAGUUUCAGGUAUUUUACAGUAAUAAAGAAGCUUGGAAUUUGGUUUGGACUCCUGGAGAAUUCUCAUAUUCAAUUUUGCUCAAGAAUGAAUGUUACAUUUGUGUUAAGCAUGUACAUAUGUUAGAAAUUAGUUAAAUCAAUCAUUUUUCUCUACACGGGUGGUUGAAACCAUAUUCAGUUAGUAUAUCUGUUAUACAUUGUUUUUGACAUAAUUAUGGAUACUUUAUUUUGAAAUGUUAAAGGUUAAUUAGUUUGUUGAUA